AUUGAACGCUGGCGGCAGGCCUAACACAUGCAAGUCGAGCGAGCGGCGGACGGGUGAGUAAGGUAGGGGGACUGCCCGAUAGAGGGGGAGAACUACUGGAAACGGAGGCUAAUACCGAAUACUGUCGGAUAACCCAUAUGGGAUUAGCUAGUAGGUAAGGGAAUGGCUUACCUAGGCGACGAUCCCUAGCUGGUCUGAGAGGAUGAUCAGCCACACUGGGACUGAGACACGGCCCAGACUCCUACGGAGGCAGCAGUGGGGCAUAUUGCACAAUGGGCGCAAGCCUGAUGCAGCCAUGCCGCGUGUAUGAAGAGGGCCCUAGGGUUGUAAAGUACUUUCAGUCGGGAGGCGUUACCGACAGAAGAAGCACCGGCUAACUCCGUGCCAGCAGCCGCGGUAAUAC
rnacentral:rRNA from 1 species